GCUUAGAUACCACAUUGAAACCACAUCAUUCAUAUCGAGUGGGAGGAGCCAAUUAUGUUCCAUUAAUUGUAUUCGCAUAUUUCAUGAUGUCAACUGACUAGAAUAUGUGAAAUUAGAUAAUGUUGAAUCUAUUGUUUUGCAGGGCUGGUGCUGUGGUGGCUAAGUAUGGUGACAAGAGUGUUUACUUUGAUUUGGAGGAUCUGGGCAACACCACUGGCCAAUGGGACUUGUAUGGAUCAGAUGCACCUUCACCAUACAACCCCCUUCAGGUAUAUUUCCACCUUGAAUAUAGAGGAAGUGUCAAAGUGGGUCGAGCAGUCUGGACCGUGAAAAGUUCAGUGCUGGGCUAGUAUUAUAGUGUAGUUUCGUUGUUGACAUUCAUUUACGAUCACAGAGCAAGUUCUUCGAGACAUUUGCUGCUCCUUUCACCAAGAGAGGUCUUUUGCUGAAGUUCUUGAUAUUGGGAGGUGGCAUCACCAUUGCUUAUGUGAGCUCCAAAGCAACAGGAGACGUUUUACCUAUUGUAAAGGGCCCACAACUUCCACCCAAGCCAGGACCACGUGGCAAAAUCUAAUUUCCCAGAUAUAACAUUUUCAACCUUUAUAAAUUUAUUGUGUUCAAUGUGUCAUUUCAACAGCCUGUAAGCAUAUCAGAAUCUACUUUUACUGUUUAAUAUUACAAGUAUUUCAGUACAAUUCUUGUUGUAUCUGAUUCAAUUUUAAAGUAACUCGAGUACAAUUAAGUGAUCAAUUUCAAAAUAAGUCAAGAGUAUAAUUCAGCAUAUGCUUCCAAGUUACAGAACUAGCACUAGAAUUUUACUAGAUUUCUAUGGCAAGACCGAAAUGCAUACGUACAUUAGGGCUGAGCUUUUAUGCUAGAGUCGAGUUCUGUCAGUUAUUCAUCUGCAACAAAAUCAAUUAAUGGCGUGCUGUUGGACUUCUUGCACCCCCUAGGUUCUCUAGCCUCUCUAUGUAGGAAAAUUUCUUGUUCGUCAUAAUGUUUAGCGGUUUAGGGAGGACCUUUGAGUCAACAUCUUUCUUUGCAUCAGUCUCUCCUUGAUCUAAAUUCCAUCCCAUAAAGUCUAGCAGUGUCAUUGAAG
rnacentral:lncRNA from 1 species